CAAUAGCGUAUAUUAAAGUUGUUGCAGUUAAAAAGCUCGUAGUUGGAUUUCUGGUUGAAGCGACCGGUCGGGCGUUGAUUCGUCUGCACUGGAGUCGGUUUUGGCCAUCCUCUAGGAAAGUGCGUCUGGUAUUUAGUUAUCGGGCGUAUGAUCCUGGUCUUUUACUGUGAAAAAAUUAGAGUGUUUAAAGCAGGCCUUCGCCUUGAAUACAUUAGCAUGGAAUAAUAAGGUAGGACUUUGGUCUAUUUUGUUGGUUUGCAGACCGAAGUAAUGAUUAAUAGGGAUAGUUGGGGGUAUUUAUAUUCCGAUGUCAGAGGUGAAAUUCUUAGAUUUUCGGAAGAUAAACUUAUGCGAAAGCAUUUACCAAGGAUGUUUNCAUUAA
rnacentral:rRNA from 1 species